rnacentral:rRNA from 1 species
UACGUAGGGGGCAAGCGUUGUCCGGAAUUAUUGGGCGUAAAGCGCACGUAGGCGGUCUCGUAAGUCGGGUGUGAAAGCCCGGGGCUCAACCCCGGAAGUGCACUCGAAACUGCAAGGCUUGAGUACGGAAGAGGGUCUCGGAAUUCCCGGUGUAGAGGUGAAAUUCGUAGAUAUCGGGAGGAACACCAGUGGCGAAGGCGGAGACCUGGGCCGAUACUGACGCUGAGGUGCGAAAGCGUGGGGAGCAAACAGG